UACGAAGGGGGCUAGCGUUGUUCGGAAUUACUGGGCGUAAAGCGCACGUAGGCGGAUUUGCCAGUCAGGGGUGAAAUCCCGGGGCUCAACCUCGGAACUGCCUCUGAUACAGCAAGUCUCGAGUCCGGAAGAGGCGAGUGGAAUUCCUGGUGUAGCGGUGAAAUGCGCAGAUAUCAGGAGGAACACCGAUGGCGAAGGCAGCUCGCUGGGACGGUACUGACGCUGAGACGCGAAAGCGUGGGGAGCAAACAGG
rnacentral:rRNA from 1 species